rnacentral:lncRNA from 1 species
GAACGUCGGGAAAAAGGAAGAUGUUCUGCGACUGACUGUUCAACCCCGAUCAACAACUAAGUUUCAUGAGAAUGUCCCAGCUUGCUGAACUGUUGGAAUCAUGAAAUGAUUUAGAAGCCGAAGGAACUGGCCUUGGAUCUUUAUACCGAACUGAUAAGUUGACAUAUCAGCUCAGAAGAAAAUAUCAACGGGUCUCUUUCCUUGAAUAUAUGCGACAUCAUCUACACCGCUACUUUAUCUGCUGGAGGUGUGGUUGAAUCUCUGGCGACUUAAGAGGAGGAUUCAAAACUGAAACUUUGGCUUAGAAAGCAAGACAUACGCUCCAUCCUGUUAUGCCGUUACUGCACAAGAUUUGAUGAGAACUUUGAUGUAGCGAUAACUUUAAUUGAAGUUGUAUCAGCACGACUAGUUAGUAUUUGACAUUUUAAUGGAAAUAAUGAGUAACUUCUAGAUUUCAAAACUACAUGAUUGUAUCCUUCUGUUCAUUAGUGUUGGUUUUAUUCAUUUCUAUUCUUUUCAUUUAUUAAAAAUUAGUUCCAGUAGAAAAGCAAAUUCUGUGAAUUUUAACAGUGAGAAUAGCCACAUAUGACAAGCCAAAUUACUCUCUUUAAUGUGUAAGCAUACAAAAUAGCAUGAGUUAUGGUUUUGUUUUCUUUUUAUUGAUAUACAUGCAAACAUUUUUUGGUGCUAAUCAAUGUAUCAAUAAAUAAAAAGCUGAAUUUUUCUUUAACAAAAGACUGAUCUUAAGGCUUUUCUCCAAACCAAGAUGGCCAGGGCUGUUUUGAUCAGAUAGCAAAUAAAUGUACAAUGGUUGAUUUCUGAAAUUAUUAAACCAGACUCUGACUUCUGAUGGUCCUUUGA